rnacentral:SRP_RNA from 1 species
ACCGUGCGCAGUGGCAUGUGUCUGUAGUCCCAGCUACUCUGGAGGCUGGGGUGGGAGGAUCGCUUGAGCCCAGGAGUUCUGGGCUGUAGUUGGGCUAUGCCGAUUGGGUGUCCGCACUAAGUUCGGCAUCAAUAUGGUGACCUCCCGGGAGCGGGGGACCACCAGGUUCCCUAAGGAGGGGUGAACUGGCCCAGGUCGGAAACGGAGCAGGUCAAAACUCCCGUGUUGAUGAUCAGUAGUGGGAUUGCGCCUGAAUAGCCACCGCACUCCAGCCUGGGCAACAUAGCGAGACCUCAUCUCU